GAUGAAGAACGCAGCGAAAUGCGAUAAGUAAUGUGAAUUGCAGAAUUCAGUGAAUCAUCGAAUCUUUGAACGCACAUUGCGCCCCUUGGUAUUCCGGGGGGCAUGCCUGUUCGAGCGUCAUUAUAACCCCUCAAGCUCAGCUUGGUGUUGGGGCCUGCCUACUGGCAGCCCUUAAAAUCAGUGGCGGCGCCAUCUGGCUCUAAGCGUAGUAAUUUCUCUCGCUAUAGGGUCCCGGUGGAUGUUUGCCAACAACCCCCAAUUUUUUAAUGGUUGACCUCGGAUCAGGUAGGGAUACCCGCUGAACUUAAGCAUAUCAAUAAGCGGAGGA
rnacentral:misc_RNA from 1 species